GAGUAAUUUCCUGCACUUAUUUCCUGCCAUUGAACGCAUCACAAAUGCAUGACUCCAACCACAUGACUUUGCUCAGCCAAUCGGAUGGCAUGUAGGUCAUAGUAAGCCUGUCCCGGCUUCCUCCCGUCAGAUGCGUGGAGGCAAGCCAGGUGACAGAGCUGUUGCAGGUGCUGAUUACUGUGAGCCAGAGCCAUAGUGUUGUUGUGCACUGAACAGAACGGAAUUGGCCAGGUGAACCUUGUUAGGGUAUGAAAGAGGAUGGCGAGCCAAUGAACGGCUAGGAGCAGGACACAUUCUGCAAUUGACGCUUCCACCGGUUGGGUAGGAAGCUAUCAAAGACAACGCUCUGUCCCAUUUUCCAAAUACACUGAUUUCCGCAAUCAUACACACCAUUCCCUUCAUUUAUGGACAAUAGCGCUUGGACAUCUCUCAUGGACAUUCAGAUUAAACUCAUGGACUUCAGUGUGGAUCAGUGGAUUUGAUAUUAACAUGUGGUGUUUAUGGGGGAACUGUUUUUUUUUGAGAACCUGUGUUGCUUGGUAUAAGCCAGACAAAUCUGUUUAGUUGUCUUUGUGUACCCUCACUGGGUUUUUGAUUAAUUGGAUAGCUGCAGCAGGAGUGAUUAUUUAAGUUUUUCUUUUCUUGUUAUUCUUUUUUGGGGUUUGGUUAAAUACA